rnacentral:tRNA from 1 species
GCUGGAUAGCUUAGUUGGUUAGAGCCUGGUGCUGAUAAUGCCAAGGCUGCAGGUUCGAUCCCUGAAUGGGGCAGCU